GGCAGUGGUGGCUCAGUGGGGAAGGCUCUGGUUUACUGCUCAGAAGGUCAAGGGUUCAAGCCCCAGUACUGCCA